rnacentral:sRNA from 1 species
AGAGCAGGUCUCCAGGGGAGCGAUGGCAGCCGGUGGUCUGAGUCGCUCCGAGCGCAAAGCGGCUGAGCGGGUCCGGAGGUUGCGGGAGGAGCAGCAGAGGGAGCGCCUCCGCCAGGUACGCCGCCGCCGCUCCCCGGCCCGGCCAUGCCCGGCCCGCGCCGCCGCUCACCGCCUGCCUGCCCGCAGGUGUCGCGCAUCCUGAGGAAGGCGGCGGCGGAGCGCAGCGCCGAGGAGGGCCGGCUGCUGGCCGAGAGCGCGGACCUGGUAACGGAGCUGCAGGGCCGGAGCCGGCGGCGCGAGGGCUUGAAGCGGCGGCAGGAGGAGGCGAGUUCCGCGCGCGGCGCGCGGGCGCCCCCGGUUUCGGGAGCAGCUGGGGCGACGGGCGG